rnacentral:rRNA from 1 species
AUACGAAGGGGGCUAGCGUUGUUCGGAAUUACUGGGCGUAAAGCGCGCGUAGGCGGAUUGGUCAGUUAGGGGUGAAAUCCCAGGGCUUAACCCUGGGACUGCCUCUAAUACUGCCAGUCUUGAGUUCGGGAGAGGUGAGUGGAAUUCCUAGUGUAGAGGUGAAAUUCGUAGAUAUUAGGAAGAACACCAGUGGCGAAGGCGGCUCACUGGCCCGAUACUGACGCUGAGGCGCGAAAGCGUGGGGAGCAAACAGGAUUAGAUACCCUAGUAGUCC